AUUAAACGCUGGCGGCAUGCCUUACACAUGCAAGUCGAACGGCAGCACGGGGGCAACCCUGGUGGCGAGUGGCGGACGGGUGAGUAAUGCAUCGGAACGUGCCCUGAAGUGGGGGAUAACGCAGCGAAAGCUACGCUAAUACCGCAUAUUCUGUGAGCAGGAAAGCAGGGGAUCGCAAGACCUUGCGCUUUGGGAGCGGCCGAUGUCGGAUUAGCUAGUUGGUGGGGUAAAGGCCUACCAAGGCGACGAUCCGUAGCGGGUCUGAGAGGAUGAUCCGCCACACUGGGACUGAGACACGGCCCAGACUCCUACGGGAGGCAGCAGUGGGGAAUUUUGGACAAUGGGCGGAAGCCUGAUCCAGCCAUGCCGCGUGAGUGAAGAAGGCCUCGGUUGUAAGU
rnacentral:rRNA from 1 species